rnacentral:rRNA from 1 species
UACAGGGGGUGCAAACGUUGCUCGGAAUUAUUGGGCGUAAAGCGCACGUAGGCGGUUUGUUAUGUCGGAUGUGAAAGCCCUUGGCUCAACUGAGGAAGUGCAUCCGAAACUGGCAAGCUAGAGUAUGUAAGAGGGUCGCGGAAUUCCCGGUGUAGAGGUGAAAUUCGUAGAUAUCGGGAGGAACACCGGUGGCGAAGGCGGCGACCUGGGACAAUACUGACGCUCAUGCACGAAAGCGUGGGGAGCAAACAGG